rnacentral:rRNA from 1 species
CAGUAGCCGCGGGAAUACAGAGGGUGCGAGCGUUAAUCGGAUUUACUGGGCGUAAAGCGUGCGUAGGCGGCUAAUUGAGUCGGAUGUGAAAUCCCCGAGCUUAACUUGGGAAUUGCAUUCGAUACUGGUUAGCUAGAGUGUGGGAGAGGAUGGUAGAAUUCCAGGUGUAGCGGUGAAAUGCGUAGAGAUCUGGAGGAAUACCGAUGGCGAAGGCAGCCAUCUGGCCUAACACUGACGCUGAGGUACGAAAGCAUGGGGAGCAAACAGGAUUAGAUACCCCGGUAGUCCCUGUCUUUAUACA